rnacentral:ribozyme from 1 species
CAAGAAGCUCGUCUACACUAAGCUCCCCAACGUCGUCGGCGUCCAAACCCAAGAAUACGACGAGGACAUCUACGACGCCACCGAAGAGAAACAAUCCUUCCGCUACACCUCCUCCAUAAUCCG